CCUACGGGCGGCAGUAGUGGGGAAUAUUGCACAAUGGGGGAAACCCUGAUGCAGCGACGCCGCGUGAGUGAAGAAGUAAUUCGUUAUGUAAAGCUCUAUCAGCAGGGAAGAAAAUGACGGUACCUGAGUAAGAAGCCCCGGCUAACUACGUGCCAGCAGCCGCGGUAAUACGUAGGGGGCAAGCGUUAUCCGGAUUUACUGGGUGGAAAGGGAGCGUAGACGGCAGUGCAAGUCUGGAGUGAAAGGCGGGGGCUCAACCCCCGGACUGCUCUGGAAACUGUACGGCUGGAGUGCAGGAGAGGUAAGUGGAAUUCCUAGUGUAGCGGUGAAAUGCGUAGAUAUUAGGAGGAACACCAGUGGCGAAGGCGGCUUACUGGACUGUAACUGACGUUGAGGCUCGAAAGCGUGGGGAGCAAACAGGAUUAGAUACCCUAGUAGUC
rnacentral:rRNA from 1 species